rnacentral:rRNA from 1 species
GGACUACAAGGGUAUCUAAUCCUGUUCGCUCCCCACGCUUUCGCUCCUCAGCGUCAAUAUCGGCCCAGAGACCCGCCUUCGCCACCGGUGUUCCUCCUGAUAUCUGCGCAUUUCACCGCUACACCAGGAAUUCCAGUCUCCCCUACCGAAUUCUAGCCUGCCCGUAUCGACUGCAGACCACAUGGUUGAGCCACGGGUUUUCACAGUCGACGCGACAAGCCGCCUACGAGCUCUUUACGCCCAAUAAAUCCGGACAACGCUCGCGCCCUACGUCUUACCGCGGCUGCUGGCAC